rnacentral:rRNA from 1 species
GCGGCGGACGGGUGAGUAACACGUGGGCAACCUGCCUGUAAGACUGGGAUAACGCCGGGAAACCGGGGCUAAUACCMSAUAGUUUUUUCCUCCSCAUGGAGGAAAAAGGAAAGGCGGCUUCKGCUGCCACUUACAGAUGGGCCCGCGGCGCAUUAKCUAGUUGGCGGGGUAACGGCCCACCAAGGCAACGAUGCGUAGCCGACCUGAGAGGGUGAUCGGCCACAUUGGGACUGAGACACGGCCCAAACUCCUACGGGAGGCAGCAGUAGGGAAUCUUCCGCAAUGGACGAAAGUCUGACGGAGCAACGCCGCGUGAGUGAAGAAGGCCUUCGGGUCGUAAAACUCUGUUGCCGGGGAAGAACAAGUGCCGUUCGAACAGGGCGGCGCCUUGACGGUACCCGGCCAGAAAGCCACGGCUAACUACGUGCCAGCAGCCGCGGUAAUACGUAGGUGGCAAGCGUUGUCCGGAAUUAUUGGGCGUAAAGCGCGCGCAGGCGGCUUCUUAAGUCUGAUGUGAAAUCUUGCGGCUCAACCGCAAGCGGUCAUUGGAAACUGGGAGGCUUGAGUGCAGAAGAGGAGAGUGGAAUUCCACGUGUAGCGGUGAAAUGCGUAGGAUGUGGAGGAACACCAGUGGCGAAGGCGGCUCUCUGGUCUGUAACUGACGCUGAGCGCGAAAAGC